rnacentral:rRNA from 1 species
AUGCAGUCGUACGCUAGCCGCUGAAUUGAUCCUUCGGGUGAAGUGAGGCAAUGACUAGAGUGGCGAACUGGUGAGUAACACGUAAGAAACCUGCCCUUUAGUGGGGGAUAACAUUUGGAAACAGAUGCUAAUACCGCGUAACAACAAAUCACACAUGUGAUCUGUUUGAAAGGUCCUUUUGGAUCGCUAGAGGAUGGUCUUGCGGCGUAUUAGCUUGUUGGUAGGGUAGAAGCCUACCAAGGCAAUGAUGCGUAGCCGAGUUGAGAGACUGGCCGGCCACAUUGGGACUGAGACACUGCCCAAACUCCUACGGGAGGCUGCAGUAGGGAAUUUUCCGCAAUGCACGAAAGUGUGACGGAGCGACGCCGCGUGUGUGAUGAAGGCUUUCGGGUCGUAAAGCACUGUUGUAAGGGAAGAAUAACUGAAUUCAGAGAAAGUUUUCAGCUUGACGGUACCUUACCAGAAAGGGAUGGCUAAAUACGUGCCAGCAGCCGCGGUAAUACGUAUGUCCCGAGCGUUAUCCGGAUUUAUUGGGCGUAAAGCGAGCGCAGACGGUUUAUUAAGUCUGAUGUGAAAUCCCGAGGCCCAACCUCGGAACUGCAUUGGAAACUGAUUUACUUGAGUGCGAUAGAGGCAAGUGGAACUCCAU